GGCCCAGCAGCACAGCGGUGUGUGUCUACAUCUAGUGCCCGACUUCCUAAGAGUUUGUGUAGAAAUCAGCUCGUUCGACUCGAGCCUGGGCCA